GACUCAAGUAAAAAUCUUAGAAUUCUGGAGAAGAUUGCCCAAAUAUUCAAAGAGGAUUUGAAGUUUAGUGGAGAAGAGCUUUCUGGAAGCAGAAUGGAGAGUAAGAAUAGACAAGACAAUUACGAAUUACAGCUACAAUAGUUGAUAAUCCUUGAAGACAGACAGUCCCAGCAUGGUGGAAUUGACAGUAUUUUACUGGUUACAUGGAAGAAAUAAGAGUUCAUGUGCUAUCAAUUUAAUUUAGUGGAUAAGAUUUCAUGUUUAACUGGCUACCGCAAGGUGGGGCUGGUGGUCUAAGUUUUCUGCUUUGUGUGAGAGACUAUACUAAGCAAAGCAACUGCUGAUGUUGACAAAGGGGUCCAUGAUGAGACUGGUUUCUUUUAGGUGGUUCUAUUUUUUGAAAAUAUGGGCUUGGAUAAAGAAACUAUUGGGAGAAUUAUUUUCCGCUGCCAGCAUUGAUAAAACUCUUUAGAGGAAGAUUGAAUUCCUUUCUAGGGUUGGCAUUUUUUAAGCUUAUUUUCCUGGGAUAAUUAGAAAAUAUCCGGAAUUAC